rnacentral:misc_RNA from 1 species
GAUGAAGACGCAGCGAAAUGCGAUAAGUAGUGUGAAUUGCAGAAUUCAGUGAAUCAUCGAAUCUUUGAACGCACAUUGCGCCCCUUGGUAUCCCGAGGGGCAUGCCUGUUCGAGCGUCAUUUCACCACUCAAGCCUGGCUUGGUGUUGGGCGACGUCCCCUUUGGGGACGCGCCUCGAAACGCUCGGCGGCGUGGCACCGGCUUUAAGCGUAGCAGAAUCUUUCGCUUUGGAAGUCGGGGCCCCGUCUGCCGGAAGACCUACUCGCAAGGUUGACCUCGGAUCAGGCAGGGAUACCCGCUGAACUUAAGCAUAUCAAUAAGCGGAGGA